CUGAAGAGUCCCACAAUAGGACGAAACGGCUGUC
rnacentral:hammerhead_ribozyme from 1 species